UACGAACCCAGCUUACCCAAGUUCUACGAUUUCUUCCCUCUCUCCCCUAGCUUACCCCACCCAUUCACAAUGAGUUCCCGUAUGAACAAAAAAACGCAAACUUUUCCACCAAUUUGACAAGAAAUCCAGCUCAGGAAAGCACCCCCAAAAGAAAACGAGAAGAACCCAGCUUCAAUCUGAAAGAAAAUUUUAGAAAAACCGAGGAAAUUUGCGAGCUUACAGAUGAGGAAGCCGGCGAUGGAUGAAAUAGAGCGAGGGGGAGCUGCCGAUGGCGCGACAAGGAAGCAGAUGAACGCAGAUGAGGAAGCAGCGCGACGGGGAGCUGGAUCUAACGAUGGCGCAACGGGGAGCUGGCGAUGGCGCGACGAAGGAAAACAC
rnacentral:lncRNA from 1 species